rnacentral:rRNA from 1 species
ACGCUGGCGGCAGGCCUAACACAUGCAAGUCGAGCGGUAGAGAGAAGCUUGCUUCUCUUGAGAGCGGCGGACGGGUGAGUAAUGCCUAGGAAUCUGCCUGGUAGUGGGGGAUAACGUUCGGAAACGGACGCUAAUACCGCAUACGUCCUACGGGAGAAAGCAGGGGACCUUCGGGCCUUGCGCUAUCAGAUGAGCCUAGGUCGGAUUAGCUAGUUGGUGAGGUAAUGGCUCACCAAGGCGACGAUCCGUAACUGGUCUGAGAGGAUGAUCAGUCACACUGGAACUGAGACGCGGUCCAGACUCCUACGGGAGGCAGCAGUGGGGAAUAUUGGACAAUGGGCGAAAGCCUGAUCCAGCCAUGCCGCGUGUGUGAAGAAGGUCUUCGGAUUGUAAAGCACUUUAAGUUGGGAGGAAGGGCAGUUACCUAAUACGUGAUUGUUAUGACGUUACCGACAGAAUAAGCACCGGCUAACUCUGUGCCAGCAGCCGCGGUAAUACAGAGGGUGCAAGCGUUAAUCGGAAUUACUGGGCGUAAAGCGCGCGUAGGUGGUUAGUUAAGUUGGAUGUGAAAUCCCCGGGCUCAACCUGGGAACUGCAUUCAAAACUGACUGACUAGAGUAUGGUAGAGGGUGGUGGAAUUUCCUGUGUAGCGGUGAAAUGCGUAGAUAUAGGAAGGAACACCAGUGGCGAAGGCGACCACCUGGACUGAUACUGACACUGAGGUGCGAAAGCGUGGGGAGCAAAC